rnacentral:rRNA from 1 species
AUGAACAUUGCUCUCCUGGCCAAGUGGCUGUGGAGGAUUGCGAAUGGAGAAGGUGGCUUGUGGCUGCGCAUCAUCCAGCAGAAAUACUUCCAUGGUCAACCACUCGCCUUCUGCCAGCGGUUCGGUGGGUCCCAGUUCUGGCAAUCAGCUAUACAGCUUCUUCCAGUCCUCCACACAGGCACCUCCAUCGCGGUUGGAUCUAGCACUGCCAUGCUGUUCUGGUUUGAUAGAUGGGCUGAGACUCCCUUCACGGCUCGAUUCCCUGACCUGUUUUCCAUCAUGGUUGAUCCGCGGAUUUCUGUCGCGGUGGCCCUUAUUGACUUAGGGCACCUCGCCUUCCGGCGGCCCUUUGGUCCAGCGGAAACCGAUGCGUGGCACGACCUACUCGACUGCAUUGCUCUACACGAGCCAGAUUUGGAGAUUGGUGAGGACCGCACUAGGUGGCGGCUAGAGCCAUCUGGGCAAUUCUCAUCUAAAUCUCCCUAUCAGGCGAUUGCGCCUUCGCCGGGUCACGAAGCUCUCACCACCAUCUGGGCAAUCCGGCUCCCCUUGAAGAUUAGGAUCUUCCUGUGGCAAUGGAUGUUGGGGAACGUAGCAGAAAUUCAAAAUUUUCCUACGUGUCACCAAGAUCUAUCUAUGGAGAGACCAGCAACGAGUAGAAAGAGAGUGCAUCUACAUACCCUUGUAGAUCGCUAA